rnacentral:lncRNA from 1 species
UAUUUGCGACGUCUCGCUUUCUCGAAGAUAUGUCUUUUGCUGGGAGAUGGCUACGAUCUUCGUUUUUAUAGAAGAUGCGUUUUUCCGGUCUUGCUUGACCAUGAGUACGUGUGAGUUAUGUAGGAAUUAGUUUUCGUCCAAGGACUGCUUAGACGGUAUGCCCUUAUCUUGGGCGUUUCUUAGGCCAACCUUAGAUUAUUGUGACUUAUUGCAAGUGAAUCGUAAGGUCGGAAGAAGGUAGAAUUUAUUGAAAAAGUUUCGAAAAUAUCGAGAACAUUUAUAGAUAUUUCGGAAUUUGUGGGAGUAUACGAGUAUACGUACCCACCCCCCCCCCCUUUUUAACGAGGGGGAUAGCUGAACUUGUCGAUAUGACAAGCUGCCUAC